rnacentral:rRNA from 1 species
AUUGAACGCUGGCGGCAGGCCUAACACAUGCAAGUCGAACGGUAACAGAAAGCAGCUUGCUGCUUUGCUGACGAGUGGCGGCCGGGUGAGUAAUGUCUGGGAAACUGCCUGAUGGAGGGGGAUAACUACUGGAAACGGUAGCUAAUACCGCAUAACGUCGCAAGACCAAAGAGGGGGACCUUCGGGCCUCUUGCCAUCGGAUGUGCCCAGAUGGGAUUAGCUAGUAGGUGGGGUAACGGCUCACCUAGGCGACGAUCCCUAGCUGGUCUGAGAGGAUGACCAGCCACACUGGAACUGAGACACGGUCCAGACUCCUACGGGAGGCAGCAGUGGGGAAUAUUGCACAAUGGGCGCAAGCCUGAUGCAGCCAUGCCGCGUGUAUGAAGAAGGCCUUCGGGUUGGAAAGUACUUUCAGCGGGGAGGAAGGGAGUAAAGUUAAUACCUUUGCUCAUUGACGUUACCCGCAGAAGAAGCACCGGCUAACUCCGUG